rnacentral:lncRNA from 1 species
AGCUUCUUUGCACGGCGUUUCUUGAUGGUGGUAGGUAUUAUCAUUUCUUCUCCGGCUUUGGGUCUUCUCUUCCUGGAUGGUUCUUGAAACCAGUGAGCGCUACUCAUCUUCCAGUGGGGCUCCUUGAAGCUGCUCGUCUUUCAGUAGUUAAGAGAGAUUAAUGAUGUAUGGCUUGAUCAUGCCUAAAUUCCUUGGGGGUCGCCGCCCUCGUUCGUCAAGUUCCUCCGUUGACCUUUUCUCUACGGGAAUAGUCCGCGCCCGGCGUUCGUAAUAGCAGCAGGGUCAUUCAUCAUCUGAAACCUCUCCAGCAGAAGUGCCCACAAGAAAAUUC